UACGUAGGGUGCGAGCGUUAAUCGGAAUUACUGGGCGUAAAGCGUGCGCAGGCGGUUCGUUGUGUCGGCGGUGAAAGCCCCGGGCUUAACCUGGGAAUGGCCGUUGAAACUGGCGAACUGGAGUGUGGCAGGAGGGGGGUGGAAUUCCGCGUGUAGCAGUGAAAUGCGUAGAGAUGCGGAGGAACACCGAUGGCGAAGGCAGCCCCCUGGGCUAACACUGACGCUCAGGCACGAAAGCGUGGGGGAGCAAACGGG
rnacentral:rRNA from 1 species